rnacentral:rRNA from 1 species
CUUUUUAAAGAAAAAAAUUUCAAAGGUACUCCGCCUGGGGAGUACGGCCGCAAGGCUAAAACUCAAAGGAAUUGACGGGGGCCGCGACAAGCGGUGGAGCAUGUGGUUUAAUUCGACCGACGCGCAGAACCUUACCUGGGCUAGAAAACACAGGAACCCGGGUGAAAACUCGGGGUGCUCUUCGGAGAAUCUGUGGUAGGUGUUGCAUGGCUGUCGUCAGCUCGUGUCGUGAGAUGUUGGGUUAAGUCCCGCAACGAGCGCAACCCUUGUCGUUAGUUGCUACCAUUAAGUUGAGCACUCUAACGAGACUGCCGACCUUCAAGUCCGGAGGAAGGUGGGGAUGACGUCAAGUCCUCAUGGCCCCUAUGUCCAGGGCUACACACGUGCUACAAUGGUCGGUACAAAGGGCUGCGAAACCGCGAGGUGAAGCCAAUCCCAAAAAACCGGCCUCAGUACGGAUUGGAGUCUGCAACUCGACUCCAUGAAGGCGGAAUCGCUAGUAAUCCCUGAUCAGCAUGGCAGGGGUGAAUACGUUCCCGGGCCUUGUACACACCGCGUCGACGCGGCC